GACGAACGCUGGCGGCGUGCCUAAUACAUGCAAGUCGAGCGAGCGGAACCAACAGAUUUACUUCGGUAAUGACGUUGGGAAAGCGAGCGGCGGAUGGGUGAGUAACACGUGGGGAACCUGCCCCUAAGUCUGGGAUACCAUUUGGAAACUGGUGCUAAUACCGGAUAUUCUGCUUCUGCCGCAUGGUGGGGGUUGGAAAGAUUUUUUUGGAUGGGGAGUGGGCUCACGGCCUAUCAGCUUGUUGGUGGGGUGAUGGCCUACCAAGGCGUCGACGGGUAGCCGGCCUGAGAGGGUGACCGGCCACAUUGGGACUGAGAUACGGCCCAG
rnacentral:rRNA from 1 species